rnacentral:rRNA from 1 species
CACGUAGGUGGCGAGCGUUAUCCGGAAUCACUGGGCGUAAAGGGUCCGUAGGUGGCCUGUCAGGUCUGCUGUGAAAGCGCCCGGCUCAACCGGGCGAGGCCAGUGGAAACCGGGGGGCUUGAGUCGCGCAGAGGGUUCUGGAAUUCCCGGUGUAGUGGUGGAAUGCGUAGAGAUCGGGAGGAACACCAGAGGCGAAAGCGGGGACCUGGGCGCGGACUGACACUGAGGGACGAAAGCGUGGGGAGCGAAC